rnacentral:tRNA from 1 species
AGCCCCGUAGUGUAGCGGCCAAUCAUUCAAGCCUUUGGAGCUUGAGACCUCGGUUCAAAUCCGGGCGGGGCUA